rnacentral:rRNA from 1 species
UACGGAGGGGGCUAGCGUUGUUCGGAAUUACUGGGCUUAAAGGGUGCGUAGGCGGUGAAGUAAGUCGGAUGUGAAAUACCUUAGCUUAACUAGGGAACUGCACUCGAUACUACUUUGCUAGAGUAAGACAGAGGUGAGUGGAACUGAGGGUGGAGCGGUGAAAUGCGUUGAUAUCAUCAGGAACACCAGUGGCGAAAGCGGCUUACUGGGUCUCUUCUGACGCUGAGGUACGAAAGCUAGGGGAGCGAAGGGG